ensembl:lncRNA TTTY10 testis expressed transcript, Y-linked 10
CACCCUGGCCAUAGCCCAUGUCAGCAGUAACCUAUGUCUUUGUUUUACAUAUCAUGUUGUUUUACUCACCUGGUGCCUCCAGUGCCCUAUAGGGUCCCUGAGCUGUCCUGAUACUCUUUCUUAGAUCCUGUCAAAACACUCACUUCAACAAAUUCUGCCCUUGGACUCUGAUGGGAGGUUCUGAUAAAGAAAAUUAUUGAAAACCGCAUUAUUUAAAUGUGGUUAUAUUUCAGCUGGACCUGGAAAUAAAGACGAAAUACUGCUUCGUGACUGUGCUUUAAGGAAUUUUUGCUUCUAGGAGAUGAUUGUGAGCCAGGCAGAGGUGAAGGAGCAGGAGCAAAUAGCCAAGGCACAGUUCACAGUGCUGGAUUUUCUUGUGGAUAUAGCUGCAUUGUUGUUCCUUCUGCCUUGUCCAACUGCUUCCUGGUAUCCCUACCCUCACCUUUUCGUUAUCUUUUCAUCUCUCUAAUCAUUGAGAAAAAGAGUACAAAAAGCCAGAUUUUGCAGUUCCCUAUUUUGUAUUCCAGGUUGAAGAGUGCUCUGGCUGUAGAGGGUCCCCACGAUCUGUCAUCUAGUAACUCACCAGAUACAUAAGAUAUUUUGCCUGCUAUGAAGCCAUUGGAGAAUCAGGUCCAGCUGUGUCCUACAGAUUUAUACCCUCACUUUGGAUGCACUGUGAAUCUUGAAACAAGUAUGUAAAUAGAAUCCAGCCCCUCUCUGCCACAGCCUCAGAGCAGGAUUGGUAACUCCAAAAGACACCAGGACACAUCCUAAUUUUCUUAAAUUUUAUUUAUUUGUUUAUUUAUUUAUUAUUAUUAUACUUUAAGUUUUAGGGUACAUGUGCACAAUGUGCAGGUUAGUUACAUAUGUAUACAUGUGCCAUGCUGGUGUGCUGCACCCACUGACUCGUCAUCUAGCAUUAGGUAUAUCUCACAAUGCUAUCCCUCCCCUCUUCCCCCCACCCCACAACAGUCCCCAGAGUGUGAUGUUCCCUUUCCUGUGUCCAUGUGUUCUCAUUGUUCAAUUCCCACCUAUGAGUGAGAAUAUGCGCUGUUUGGUUUUUUGUUCUUGCGAUAGUUUACUGAGAAUGAUGAUUUCCAAUUUCAUCCAUGUCCCUACAAAGGACAUGAACUCAUCAUUUUUUAUGGCUGCAUAGUAUUCCAUGGUGUAUAUGUGCCACAUUUUCUUAAUUCAGUCUAUCAUUGUUGGACAUUUGGGUUGGUUCCAAGUCUUUGCUAUUGUGAAUAAUGCCGCAAUAAACAUACGUGUGCAUGUGUCUUUAUAGCAGCAUGAUUUAUAUCCUUUGGGUAUAUACCCAGUAAUAGGAUGGCUGGGUCAAAUAGUAUUUCUACUUCUAGAUCCCUGAGAAAUCGCCACACUGACUUCCACAAUGGUUGAACCAGUUUACAGUCCCACUAACAGUGUAAAAGUGUUCCUAUUUCUCCACAUCCUCUCCAGCACCUGUUGUUUCCUGACUUUUUGAUGAUUGCCAUUCUAACUGGUGUGAAAUGGUAUCUCAUUGUGGCUUUGAUUUGCAUUUCUCUGAUGGCCAGUGAUGGUGAGCAUUUUUUCAUGUGUUUUUUGACUGCAUAAAUGUCUUCUUUUGAGAAGUGUCUGUUCAUGUCCUUUGACCACUUUUUGAUGGGGUUGUUUGUUUUUUUCUUGUAAAUUUGUUUGAGUUCAUUGUAGAUUCUAGAUAUUAGCCCUUUGUGAGAUGAGUAGGUUGCGAAAAUUUUCUCCCAUUUUGUAGGUUGCCUUUUCACUCUGAUUGUAGUUUCUUUUGCUGUGCAGAAGCUCUUUAGUUUACUUAGAUCCCAUUUUUCAAUUUUGGCUUUUGUUGCCAUUGCUUUUUGUGUUUUAGGCAUGAAGUCCUUGCCCAUGCCUAUGUCCUGAAUGGUAAUGCCUAGGUUUUCUUCUAGGGUUUUUAUGAUUUUAGGUCUAACAUUUAAGUCUUUAAUCCAUCUUGAACUGAUUUUUGUAAAAGGUGUAAGGAAGGGAUCCAGUUUCAGCUUUCUACAUAUGGCUAGCCAGUUUUCCCAGCACCAAUUAUUAAAUAGGGAAUCCUUUCCCCAUUGCUUGUUUUUCUCAGGUUUGUCAAAGAUCAGAUAGUCGUAGAUAUGUGGCAUUAUUUCUGAGGGCUCUAUUCUGUUCCAUUGAUCUACAUCUCUGUUUUGGUACCAGUACCAUGCUGUUUUGGUUACUGUAGCCUUGUAGUAUAGUUUGAAGUCAGGUAGUGUGAUGCCUCCAGCUUUGUUCUUUUGGCUCAGGAUUGACUUGGCAAUGCGGGCUCUUUUUUGGUUCCAUAUGAACUUUAAAGUAGUUUUUUUCCAGUUCUGUGAAGAAAGUCAUUAGUAGCUUGAUGGGGAUGGCAUUGAAUCUGUAAAUUACUUUGGGCAGUAUGGCCAUUUUGACGAUAUUGAUUCUUCUUACCCAUGAGCAUGGAAUGUUCUUCCAUUUGUUUGUAUCCUUUUUUAUUUCCUUGAGCAGUGGUUUGUAGUUCUCCUUGAGGUCCUUCACAUCCCUUGUAAGUUGGAUUCCUAGGUAUUUUAUUCUCUUUGAAGCAAUUGUGAAUGGGAGUUCACUCAUGAUUUGGCUGUUUGUCUGUUGUUGGUGUAUAAGAAUGCUUGUAAUUUUUGUACAUUGAUUUUGUAUCCUGAGACUUUGCUGAAGUUGCUUAUCAGCUUAAGGAGAUUUUGGGCUGAGACAAUGGGGUUUUCUACAUAUACAAUCAUGUCGUCUGCAAACAGGGACAAUUUGACUUCCUCUUUUCCUAAUUGAAUACCCUUUAUUUCCUUCUCCUGCCUAAUUGCCCUGGCCAGAACUUCCAACACUAUGUUGAAUAGGAGUGGUGAGAGAGGGCAUCCCUGUCUUGUGCCAGUUUUCAAAGGGAAUGUUUCCAGUUUUUGCCCAUUCAGUAUGAUAUUGGCUGUGGGUUUGUCAUAGAUAGCUCUUAUUAUUUUGAGAUACAUCCCAUCAAUACCUAAUUUAUUGAGAGUUUUUAGCAUGAAGAGUUGUUGAAUUUUGUCAAAGGCCUUCACCACACCUAUUCCAAAAUUGACCACAUAGUUGGAAGUAAAGCUCUCCUCAGCAAAUGUAAAAGAACACAAAUUAUAACAAACUAUCUCUCAGACCACAGUGCAAUCAAACUAGAACUCAGGAUUAAGAAUCUCACUCAAAACCACUCAACUACAUGGAAACUGAACAACCUGCUCCUGAAUGACUACUGGGUACAUAAUGAAAUGAAGGCAGAAAUAAAAAUGUUCUUUGAACCGAUGAGAACAAAGACACAACAUACCAGAAUCUCUGGGACACAUUCAAAUCAGUGUGUAGAGGGAAAUUUAUAGCACUAAAUGCCCACAAGAGAAAGCAGGAAAGAUCCAAAAUUGACACCCUAACAUCACAAUUAAAAGAACUAGAAAAGCAAGAGCAAACACAUUCAAAAGCUAGCAGAAGGCAAGAAAUAACUAAAAUCAGAGCAGAACUGAAGGAAAUAGAGACACAAAAAACCCCUCAAAAAAUUAACGAAUCCAGGAGCUGGUUUGUUGCAAGGAUCAACAAAAUUGAUAG